AGGAUAUUGGGUUCGUGGAACAAAAUUCAGGUGUGAGCCCCUUGGCACACCCAUUAAGACCCAAAAACAAUUUUAAAAGAAAAAGAUCUAGCCCAAGGUGCAAUUUCACAAAAAUACCCCUUUCGUUCCAAUAAAAUCGAGACAGGUUGUUACAAUCUACAUUCGUUAAAUAAAAUUUCGUUUCAAAAUUUGAAAUAACUUACUAUACUGAAAUACUUGAAGAAAUCAAGUCAGAGCGGUUGCAUGAAAGGAAAAAUACCACCCCUUUGCAAUCCGGUUGCAAUAAUUCCAUCUUUCAUGCCUCCAAGCUCACGUUUUCUUCCCCCAUCAAUGUAAAUGUAGAAAUAUACUUCAUAAAAAUAUAAAGUCGAAAACAUAUAAUGACGUAAGGUCAAAUUUAAAUAGGCAAAAAUACGAUAGUGUCGAAAAAGAUAUGUAAUAACAUAUCAAUCGAAAAUAGGUAUGUAUAGCAAUAUAACUUCAAAAUAGAUACGUACUGGAAUAAAGGUCGAAAACUCGUACUGAACUUAAAACUAAAAUCGGAAAGAAACUUCCUCCAAAACAUUUGUAACAUCAGUAAACAAAUAUAUAUCUAUAUUAAGGUAAGUUAAAAUACUUGUACUGAAAAUCCAAACUGAACAUGAAAGUGGGUCUCGCCCCAGCAUACGUAACGUCACGUACUCCAAGAACAAGUGUGUGUUUUUGGGUCGAGCCUUAACAAUAAUAACUCCGUAACAACUACCGUAGACGGGUCUACCUGCCCACUUGCUUAAUGAACGCAACGAAUAAGCUAUCGAUAUCACAAUCUGUAGCCCGCAAUAUCGAUAACACAUUGUUGUCUCGAUAUGCAAGUAAAAGUUCCCAAGGAUGCCAAAUUACCAUUUUGCUCACAAUGUGAGAGUGUGCACAAAUCGUUUGAUUCUUGCCUCGACCGCGUUGUCGUACAGUUCCAGAGCGUACCAAUCAGAUUUGCUAUAAGUGUUUCGACAUCCACAUACUCACGAACAAUAAAGACCUGGAGUGAAGCAGUGGAAAGAUGCGUUGAGUCGAACACAUCUCGUUGGAAAAGAACUACUAGAGUACGGUAUGAUGUUUAAGAAUUGUAGCAAAAUAAUAAGAGGUGACUAUUCAUUUAUGCGUGAAGAUAGUGAUUGGUGAUGCAAUCCGCUGACUACCCGUACUACUACAUUCACUAAUCCCUUACUAAAAGGAGGCUCGAACCUCAAGGCCACAUGAAAUUCUUCUUGACAAGUCUGGUAGGCUCAUGAGAAGGUUAUGCUCAUAACAUUCCUAUUUGAAUCGAUAUGAACUGGGUGCACACUUCCGCUGAAUCAAUCGAUCACGAAUUCCUCACUGAUUAAGUGAGAAACCAUGUCAAGAAGGCUAAAAGAACACUCAAGAAUUUGAGGAUCAAAACAAGUCCAAGGAUAAUUCGCAUUUCAUAACUCCUUGUGAGGAUUUUCAAUUUUCAACAGUUGCAACCUUUUUGAAAAUUAAUGAGAAUAACGUCUGCUACCGAAGAGUCUCCCAAGAAAGUGUAUAAUCUGAAUGAAGUCAACACUCGAAGAAUUUGGUGUGAAGUUAACAGUCGAUGGUUAGGGAACUUGACUUCGUUGUUAGAAUAAGUAAGAAGGUUAUCAAUAGAACAAUCGCCGAGAAUUGCUCUAAAGAUCCACACGAAUUUCUUCAGCGAGAAUUAGUCCGAGAACAUCAAUUCGAUCCCACUAAUUACUACUUAUGAACUUCGUCACAACUAGCGCUUACUUGUUUUCUCCAACACGCACUUCUAAUGUUUCGACUAAUUUCCAUAAAGAUAUAACUAUGCCCGCCAUUCUUAAGGAAUGCAUGUCGCAGAAUGGCAUUGCCAUCUCAGAUCUUCAACUGUUCUUAACCAGACUUCCUCUUACUAAGAUUUUGAAAUCAUGCCACUUCAAGGUAAAACCGACUAUUCCUGCAAUUCCCAGGGAAUGCAUGUUGCAAAGUAUCGAUCCGAAGUUGAAAGUCAUCCAACAACUAAUUCGUCACCAAUGAAGUACAAUCCCGACACGAGUUUCUUCUUCUUCCAUAAGAUGUGACUAUUCAUGCAGUAUGAGGGUCGCACAAUUGUGCCGAAAGACAACAAAUCCUGAAGUCGUGACAUCCAAAUGAUGUCAUGACUGACACACUGCUACAGUGAUAGAAGAUCCUAGGUAUGCUCUGAACAAACCACGCUCUGAUACCAAACUGACAUGCCUGACCUUGAUAUUCCCCGAACACCAGGGUAGGCACAUGCUGGUCGACACUUGCAGGUGAUGAAGCCAUAUUAUGAUGCAUGAGAACAAAGGAAUAAAAAUAAGCCUUAUAAAUUUAAAUUUAAAUGUAAGCCUUAUGUUCAAAGCAUACAACUAAUUCUAUACACUAGAAAAUAAAUAAUAUAAAAUUGAAUGAAUAAAAGGAUGGGUCCUACACCAAGAGGACUUGAAGAUGUUGAUAAGGAAAUGCUUUGACGCCGGCAUUGUAUGCUUCGAUUCUAAGUCUUGAGGGGACCAAAGCAAGCAUGAGUCGACCAAGUUGAUAUAUAUAUAUAUAUAUGUAUAAUAUUGAAACAGUUAUCAACAUACUAACCCCCAAAGUUUUAAUGAAAACUCAUAGCAUAAUAUGUAAUAGGUUUUCCGAAACCCUAGCAUGCCAUAAAAACUUUCAUAAAACAUAUGUCGUACAUAGUGUGCUAACUAGUGGCAUCAGUAUCCCCCGAAGGCCUAUAGAACUCCUCCUUCAGAACACUUCAUUUUCCAAACAGGCACCAACCUACGCCUGGCCGAAGCCAAUAUAAACAUCCUUUGCCAAACAGGCACUAACCUACGCCCGGCCGAAGCCAAUAUAAGUAUCACUUGCCAAACAGGCACCAACCUACGCCGGGUCGAAACCAAUAUAAGUAUCAUCGCCCAUAGGCAGAACAGUGACCACUAGAUACGCACAAAAACAUUAAAUAUAGUCUUUCCCAAAACAUAGGUACUUAUAUCUCAAAACAUCUUCAUAGUAUAAAGUAAUCCAUCAUCUAUACUACAAAGAAGUGUGUAAAAGCAUGUUCGUAAAUAGUAUAUAGUUAUCCAUCAUAUAUAUUAGAUAGAACACCAGUUCAAUAAAAUAUGGUAUUCCAAAAUAUUCAUAGUAUAGCAUGAUAAUCCAUAAGUGUAAAUCCAAAUUGCUUAUAAAACAUCAUCAUUAAAUCAUGUUUUUCAUGUAUACAUUUCUAAUAUUAAAACUUGCAUUUUAAAAGGGGUCUACUCACAGAUACUUCACCGUCGAAGAGCCACGCAAACAAGCGAAGCCGGAAACACCACAAUAAAUGCAUCUAAUCACAUAAAGGGUCAAAUUAAUAAAACUCUAUUCAAACGAUUGAAUUUGGGAAAACAGACUUGGGACAUCGAAUUACCCUAGGAAGGGUCCCGGGCAAAUUUCAUAAAAGUCAACACAAAGAAUAUUCCCUGACAAAAUAUUCCCUAACAGAAUAUUCCCCAUAAAGGGUUUAGACCGGUUAGCGUUUAGGGUUUUGGAUUUGGGUUAGGGUUAGGUUAGUGGGUUAGGGCCUAGGCUAAAAGGGUUUUGGGCUUCUGGGUUCUAAAUUAAAAUGGGUUGGCCUUGGAGAGCCCGGCCCAAAGGUCUCAGGGCUGCCCAAAAUGGUUAGGUUAUAAAGGGUUUUGGGUUAAGUUGAAUGGGUUGGCUCCCUUGGGUUUGCACACACAGGACUAGGCUUGAAAGCCCAACCCAAGGGUUUGAAUUUUUAAAACAAAAUAAAACAAGAUAAAAAGGUUGGGCUUAGGGAUUUAGCGGGCCAAAGGCCAGAUGCUGGGCACAGUUCGAAGGGCCUGGUCUUCUUGGUUUGGGCUUGAAAGCGCAUGUCUUGCUGAGGAAGAAGGCUGGAUUUCUGCUGGAGAAUUCCCGAGCACCGACGGAGCUUAAAACUCAACUAAAAGCCACAAAAUAAAACACCAAAAUGUAGCCCGUGAAGUAAGAAAACAAACCAUACCUUUGGUUCUCAUAAAUGUGACCGGAGUUAGCCAGAAAAGGGCUCAGGGCCACCGGACAUUCUCUAGAAAAUAUGGAGAAUGCUUCCCAAGCAGUUUUCAUGGUCGGAGAUUCAAGAAACUCAUCGGAGGUCACAAGCACAAUGAUCGUGCUACUGUGCCAAGCAAAAGAGAGCAAGAUAUGGUUGUCUAGCCCUAGGUGGUCAUCGUAGUCAAAAGGUGGUGAUGAGAGUGUGUUUUUAACGUUGUAGGUGUGUAAGUAUGUGUGUGGGCGUUGGUCGUCGAUGAGGAGAGAGCACAGAGAGUCGAGAGGGAGAGCUGAGAUAGAAAGAGAGAGAGAUGGAGAGAGAAACGGGAGAGGUGGGGGAGAUAGGGAUAUUGAGCCCGGGGAACAAAAUUUAGGGGUGGGCCCCUUGGCACACCCAUUAAGAUCCAAAACAAUUUUAAAAGAAAAAGAUCUAGCCCAAGGUGCAAUUUCACGAAAAUACCCAUUUCGUUCUGAUAAAAUCGGGAUGGGUUGUUACAACUCUCAAGCAACCUUCCUCCCAAAUCCUUGAUAGAGACAAGACCACUAUCUCUUCCUCAUUUUCUUGCUCGGCAUAGUAGUGCCUUUAUUGUGCAAAUUUUCCCAAUGAGUUGUCGCCAUCCUCAACGAAGGUAAGUAACGAACCACCCUUUGAUCUUUUACCCACAUGGUCUAUAUUACAUAGUUGAAUAAAAAUGGUUUUGGUGAAGGUUUAAGCAAGAAAACAACUCGGGGAAG
rnacentral:lncRNA from 1 species